GUCUUUUUUAUGGAAACAGCACUUAACGUUUUAUUUGAAAAAUAACUUAAUUUUUUAGGCUAACGCAUAUAGCCAUAAGCAAGCUGCACUUUAUAGAAACAGCACCGAAAUAACGUCACAACUUUAUUAGAUAUCCCAAGAUACCUGCAGCACUUCCAGCCAUUCCACGUGGACAAAUAGUACACCCAAAAAGCGGCGCCUUUCUUUUUACAUGUACUGCUUGCCCAUGCUGAAUGACUCGAUGUCUCGCAGAGACCUUGGAAAAAUAAUAAAGUUGUAAUGCUACUACCCAUGCAGGCUUUAUGUAGUUGAAAACAAUGGCUUUCAAAUCUCAAUAUAAUUCUUACUGGUAAAAUAGUAAGCAUGCAAAAUGAAGUCUAAUUAAUGUUCAGAAACCAUGCCGUUUGAGUGCCCCCCCCCCAUUUAUAGAAAAUCAUGAAUAAAACAAAAUUAUCCUAAAUCAUGCCUAAAAAAACUUGUUCAAAUUCCUAUCAACAUAUAUCAUGCAGUUGUAUUAAAUAGGAUCUCUAUUAUUACCAAAUUUACAAUCUAUAUAUUAUAGAUUAUUAUAACUCAAAUUAGUCGGGGCUACAUUGAUAGAAAAUCAUAAAUAAGAACAAAAAUCCUAAAUCAGGCCUACUGUAGACUAAAAUUCAAAUAGUA
rnacentral:lncRNA from 1 species